UACGGAGGGGGCUAGCGUUGUCCGAAGUUACUGGGCGUAAAGCGCGCGUAGGCGGGUUGGUAAGUCCGCUGUGAAAGCCCGGAGCUUAACUCCGGAGGGUCGGUGGAUACUGCCAGUCUUGAAGGUGCUAGGGGGAGAUGGAAUUACCGGUGUAGCGGUGAAAUGCGUAGAUAUCGGUAGGAACACCAGUGGCGAAGGCGGCUGGCUGGACCUGACCUGACGCUGAGGCGCGAAGGCGUGGGGAGCGAACGGG
rnacentral:rRNA from 1 species